UUGAGGCCUUGGGAAAGACCUUGAAAACAAGAGACUUCAAUGAGCCCAUCAAUGUAGUGUGAUCCAAUGAAGAAUUGUUCAAGAAUCAGGCUCUCGGUUCAGUGAGAAUCUGCCUGGAAUGUCAGUUUCUGCAGAUGGGGAUUCAUUUUGAGUCAACUGACCAGCUUCAAGCAGUGGCUCUUGCAAGAAAAUCCUUGGACUUUCUGCCCGUGCUGUAAAGAAAGAAGGUUCAGCAGCCAAGCAGGUCACAAUUGGAGGCUUGUAGUCUGUGGCAAGUCAUGAGAUUCUGAGUAAGGAGCCUGAGGUCCAGCAAAAGUACACAUGGCACAUAAUUAUAUGGCUAACAGUGGCCCCCAGUGACAACCAUACCUUACUUCCUUACAUCUACGAGUGUGCCACAAAUGGACUUGCUACAUGUGAUCUGAGUACCCGGAGGUGGGCAUAUUAUUUUGGAUUAUCUGAGUGGGCUCCAUAGAUUCACAGAGGAGCCCGGAGGAUUAGUGAAGUAGGAGUUC